GCCCUGAAAUCACCAAAAUCACCACCAGAGAAGUGGACACACAUUGAUGGAGAGAACCACGGGGUGGGGGUGGUCCCUGCCGGCCGAUGAGGGGCAUCAGAGAGCUGGAUUUGUUCAGUACACGUGUUGGACAACUGUGCAAGCCCUCGGUGGCUGCAGGUGCUUCUGGCUGGUGGCUGCAUCCGUCUGCACUCUGCCUUCAUCGUCCCACGGUUCUUCCUUGUGGGGAUCAGGAUGUCCUCUCCUCUUCUUACAAGGACACCAGUCCUUGAAUUUACAGCCCGGUCCUGAUCGCAUCUGCAAAGACUCAGUUUCCAGUGUGACGCCUUCUUACCAUGACAGAUGUGACGUCCAAUUGUUUUGGGGCAAAAUAAGUGACAGAUAUGCUCUAAUACGUUACUCUGCCAUUCCACUAAUUCGAAUGGUUGUUGAUGAAAGUCCUAUUGCCCAAGAAUGUCCUUCAGUUUCCUCCUGAAGAUCGAGUCUGCCAAAUAAAGUGCAUGCCUUAGACAAACACCACAUGUUCUCACUUAUUUGUGGGAUCUAAACAUCGAGACAGUUGAACUCACGGACAUAGAGAACAGAGGAUGGUUGCCAGAGGCUGGGAAGGUAGUGGGUGUGGAGCAGUGGGAGGUGGGGAUGGUUAACGGGUACAAAAAAAUAGAAAAAUAAAUGAAACCUACUAUUUGAUAGCACGACACGGUGACUACAGUCAAUAAUAAAAUAAUAACUUAAUUGUGCAUUUUAAAAUCACUUAAACAAUGUAACUGGAUUGUUUGUAACUCAAAGGGUAAAUGUUUGCGGGGAUGGACACCCCCUUGGCCCGAUGUGAUUAUUAUGCGUUGCAAGCCUGAAUCACAACGUUUCAUGUACUACGCAAAUACAUAUACCUACUAUGUACCCACAAACAUUAAAAUAAAAAAUUAAAGUGCAUGUGUUUUCUGAAGCUUGAAUACAAUUGAACUAUUAGAAUUUUCCUAAAUUCUAGAAAUCUCUAGAAAUUCUAGAAUCUCUCUCUAAAGAGAUUAGCACAUUUGGCAGAAGAUUAGAUACUAAUAGGUUAUGUUAUGCUUCCUUCAUUAAUGGUUUAGAAUGAGGUGAUUUCCCUGACAGAAUGGAGAAGUCAGAAUAUUCAUGUUUGUACUCAUCUAUUUCACUUGACCUUGGCUGAGUCUUGUUACCUCCUUUUUUUUUUUUUUUUUUUUUUUUGAGGCAGAGUCUUGAUCUGUCACCAGGCAACAGGCUGGAGUGCAGUGGCAUGAUCUUGGCUCACUGCAACCUCUGCAUCCCAGGUUCAAGCAAUUCUCCUGCCUCAGCCUCCUGAG
rnacentral:lncRNA from 1 species